AACGAACGCUGGCGGCGCGCCUAAUACAUGCAAGUCGAGCGAGAAGACGUAGCAAUACGUUUGUAAAGCGGCGAACGGGUGAGGAAUACAUGGGUAACCUACCCUCGAGUGGGGAAUAACUAGCCGAAAGGUUAGCUAAUACCGCGUACGCUCCUUGGACUUCGGUUCAGGGAGGAAAGCGAUACCGUGGGUAUCGCGCUCUUGGAUGGGCUCAUGUCCUAUCAGCUUGUUGGUGAGGAACGGCUCACCAAGGCUUCGACGGGUAGCUGGUCUGAGAGGACAAUCAGCCACACUGGCACUGCGACACGGGCCAGACUCCUACGGGAGCAGCAGUAAGGAAUAUUGCGCAAUGGGCGAAAGCCUGACGCAGCGACGCCGCGUGGGGGA
rnacentral:rRNA from 1 species